GACGAACGCUGGCGGCGUGCCUAAUACAUGCAAGUCGAACGCAGUGGGGACGGGUGAGUAACACGUGGGUAACCUCCCAUCAAAGGGGAUAACACUUGGAAAAAGGUGCUAAACCGAUACUGAUGGAUGAACCCGUGGUGCAUUAGCUAGUUGGUGGGGUAACGGCUCACCAAGGCCACGAUGCGUAGCCGGUCUGAGAGGGCGACCGGCCACACUGGGACUGAGACACGGCCCAGACUCCUACGGGAGGCAGCAGUGGGGAAUUUUCGGCAAUGGAGGAAAGCCUGAUCGAGCAAUGCCGCGUGAGUGAAGAAGGUUUUCGGAUCGUAAAGUCCUGUUGUCAGAGAAGCGGUAUCUAACCAGUAAGCCCCGGCUAACUACGUGCCAGCAGCCGCGGUAAUAC
rnacentral:rRNA from 1 species